AGCCCAGCCCACCGAUCCUCCAGGCCCCAACCACGUUCGGAAACAAAGUUCCCACGACCCACGAAGUCACGAACAGACCCCCACGCCCCAUUCUCCCCCACGUCGCUCCCAAUCACGUCUCUCGCCAGACGUGAGAAAUUUCACCGCCGCCGCUCUACUCCUCAUUCGCCCCUCAUGGUCUUCGUGGAUGCAGUCCCGGUCGUGGGAGCACGGUCGCCGGGAUGGCAUACGUGCUGGAGCUUGGCCGCCGGGAUGGGGGUAGCGAGGCAGUCGAUCAGGGCGGCGAUGGCGAGGGAUGCUGUGGAGGCGGCAGCCUCAACGUGAAGAGAAGCGGCAGCCUCAUCUCUGGAGACACUGACAUCGAUCGAUCCCUGGAACCCACCUUCCUGCACUCCAAUGAUGCAACACGCCCAUGCCGCCUCUCCCCCCUCUAAGGCCGAUCUACUCGACGCGUCAAGGUUGUGGAGCAUACAUACUCGAUCAUAUGUCCCACGGGCAUUCUGUUAAUUUGCAGGAUGUACUCACACAGGUAUAACUUGGCGACUUGGCUUAUGGUAGACGACCUUUUCAUUAGCUAUACUCAGAUCAAAUUGUACUAUUGAGUUAGCAGUAAUUAAUGAUGUUGCAGUUAGUUGUAAUCAAUGAGGAAAAACAGGUCUGGGUCGUAUUGUGUUAUACCAAAAACCAUUGAAAAAUACCAAUUUCAGAAAUAACGAGUUGCAUAUUAAGCUGUUUAGGGUACACAAAUCUAUAUCCACACUGUAAUUAAGGAUGAUAGUCCAGGUUUCACCUUAAGUCUGCGGCAAAGCUAUUGGAGUGAAUACAUUUUGGUGAGCAUCAAGCUUCUUAUUUUCUGUAUGUUCAGUAUGACGAUAAUCAAAAUGCUAACUGUUUAAGGUUCUCUUGCAGAUGUAAGUGCAAUAACUUCAUUCCUUGACAUUUAUUUUGGGAGGCAGAUGGCCUUGAUGCCGUAGCAUGAGUUGGUGUUGGCCAUAUGUAGUAAGAUGUAUUGAGACUCAGAUAUUGUAUGCUUUCCAAUACCUCUAUAUAUGAUAUGUACAUCUACACGUAUCAAAUUUGCUUCUUUUUCUUAAAUUUAUCUCUUGACUUCUCUUCCAAUGCCAUUGCAAUAUUUCCAUUUUCACUUUACAUUAGUAGAAAUAAAUCGUGCCUCUUAGUCAUGAGAUAGUAUUGAUCGCCAUGCUCUUAUGGUGAUUAUCUGACAAGUGUUUUAUUUCAAAUGUUGUGUUGUAGUUCAGAUCUUGACAAGGUUGAUCAUAUCUUGGAUUUAAUCUUGCUUAGAUAUUUGUUACAAGUAACUUAUAUAGUUCCAUGUUCCACUUCUACUAUAGUUGGCAUUGGCAACACGAGGAGUUUGAUAUUCUACUGGAUGCUCGACUAUCGGAAAGGCAGGUUCUCUAUAAUUUUGGUGUAUUGGAGUCCUCUUCAGUUUGUGUUCUUAGUGAUGUAGUUCUUUGAAGAGACUAAAUAUAUGGGUGAUUUUAUUUAUCGGCAGUGAGCCGUCAACGGAUUUAAUUUAUGUUCGCUUGCUCCAAUAAGGGUUCACAUCGAGGUAUGCUUGCUAAUUCUUCCCUAAGAUACUUUCUAAGUGGUACUUAAUUUCUAGGUACUUCAAGGACUUUGACUUUGUUAGUUAAAAUUUUCAUUUUAAUCCAUGUGAUCAAUUUUUGUAUGGGCAAUGCAAGUUCAUAAAAUAUUUGUUUUUCUUGGUACUUGUUAGGUUACUACAUGUGAGAUUAAUUGAACCCCUGAUUAUAAGUUUUUCUAUUUGAUCUGCUACAUUGGCAUUAUGCUUGGUUGUGGAAGUGCAUGGCAAUCAUAGGUCACAUUACGCCAAUUGUGCUUGUUAGGGAAUGGUUUUUGGAGACGUGCGUACUGGUUAGAGGCCACAUGAUGCCAAUUGUGCAUGCAUAAUUGUACAGAUUGAUUUUGGGAGACCUGCGUGGGAUGCUCGACUCUGGCUUGAGCCUAUGAAGAUGUUCCCCACAACCUGAAGAUGUGAACUACGCUGCUGCUCCCGGUUUGAUAAUAAAUGAAGGUAUGUCUAAUUUGGAUCUUAACUAGAGCACCAACGUAUGCUUCUAACAACUGUGUGAGAAAUUAGCACAACUGAAGUAUUUGACUCAUCUAUAGAUUGACAUUGUUCUAGCUUACUCCUUCAGUGCGUACACCUGAUAAUUGAGAUUUGGACCCCCUUUUGUAAUGAUAACACUGUAAUCAACAAUUGAUUGAGGAUCACUUGGCAAAUAAGUGGGGAUAUUGUCACUCAAUAAGAUUGCAGUUUGUGAAGUU